rnacentral:rRNA from 1 species
AACGAACGCUGGCGGCAUGCCUAACACAUGCAAGUCGAACGAGAUCUUCGGGUCUAGUGGCGCACGGGUGCGUAACGCGUGGGAAUCUGCCCUUUGGUUCGGAAUAACAGUUGGAAACGACUGCUAAUACCGGAUGAUGACGAAGGUCCAAAGAUUUAUCGCCAGAGGAUGGGCCCGCGUAGGAUUAGCUAGUUGGUGGGGUAAAGGCGCACCAAGGCGACGAUCCUUAGCUGGUCUGAGAGGAUGAUCAGCCACACUGGGACUGAGACACGGCCCAGACUCCUACGGGAGGCAGCAGUGGGGAAUAUUGGACAAUGGGCGAAAGCCUGAUCCAGCAAUGCCGCGUGAGUGAUGAAGGCCUUAGGGUUGUAAAGCUCUUUUACCCGGGAUGAUAAUGACAGUACCGGGAGAAUAAGCUCCGGCUAACUCCGUGCCAGCCGCCGCAGUAA